AUUCCUCACACCACAUAUUUGCAUUAUGACGUUGUCAGUUGUGCUUUUUCCAACCUUUUCUGCACAAAGCAAACCAGUGCCAUUGUCUCUACCGGUCCUCCGAGGACCGGUGGUUCUUAAGGAAAAUCCACAUGGAGCCUGACCCAUCAUGGAGAACAAUGACCCUGUGAUUAGGCCUGGAGAGGGGGUCUGUGGGUACUGGCUGACUAAGGCUUGAAGUUAUGAGAGAGGAAAUGGUUUGGGACUGUUUCCUUCCUUUUGCACUCUGGGAAGCUUUUGUAACUGGACUUGUACCAGUGUCAUUAACUCACUCAUUUUUUUCUCCACCUAAGUGGAAAAAUCUACAGAAUCUUGAAUUUUUGACUAAUUAUUCAGGUCUGAAGGGUCAGGAGAAGAGAAGAUGCACUAAAUAUAAACAGGCUGUGUCAGCAAACUUGGAAGAGUUACUUCAACAGCCUUGUGUCACGCAGCAGAGUAAAAUGCUGUGCCUUGCUGCAUAAAUGGUUGCACUGCAAUUAUUUGCACCAGUAAAAGGAGUAUGGGGGCUCUUCUGAGAAGUGGAGGCUUUAAAAUCUGACCUUUAAGGAAAAUCACUCACUGUUGGAGUAAGAACUGUUUAAGGUGCACUGAGAAAUGGAAAUCAGUCACGUUACAAGG